UUUUCAUAAAAACCAGUGAAAAAACUACUAGCAUUGAAUCAAUACAAAGAUGAUUAGCAUGCCCUCUGUACAAGGAUAGCAUACAAAUAAAUGCAUGAUGUUUCCAUACUUU